rfam:Erinaceus europaeus unplaced genomic scaffold scaffold00135, whole genome shotgun sequence
CUCAGUUUCUGUCUCUAUUCAAGAUAAAUACACAUUUCAGUGUUCCUACAUAAACUUGGAGGUCUCUUUCAGACUUCGGACACCCACUAAGUCAGAUUGUUCCCUCCAAAGGGU